GACGAACGCUGGCGGCGUGCCUAACACAUGCAAGUCGAACGGAGAUAUGAUUUCGGUUGUAUCUUAGUGGCGAACGGGUGAGUAACGCGUGAGCAACCUGACUCUUAGAGGGGGAUAACACCCGGAAACGAGUGCUAAUACCGCAUAAGACCACGACAUGGCAUCAUGACGAGGUCAAAGGAGCAAUCCGCUGAGAGAGGGGCUCGCGUCCCAUUAGAUAGAUGGCGGGGUAAUGGCCCACCAUGUCAGCGAUGGGUAGCCGAGCUGAGAGGCUGAUCGGCCACACUGGAACUGAGACACGGUCCAGACUCCUACGGGAGGCAGCAGUGGGGAAUAUUGGGCAAUGGGCGCAAGCCUGACCCAGCAACGCCGCGUGAGGGAAGAAGGCUUUCGGGUUGUAAACCUCUGUCCUUGGUGACGAAAAAAUGACGGUAGCCAAGGAGGAAGCCCGGCUAACUACGUGCCAGCAGCCGCGGUAAACGUAGCGU
rnacentral:rRNA from 1 species